CCUGCAAGUCGAACGAUGAAGUGGAGCUUGCUCCACGGAUUAGUGGCGAACGGGUGAGUAACACGUGAAUAACCUGCCCUCAAUUUCGGAAUAACCCAGGGAAACCUGGGCUAAUACCGGAUACGUAAACCUGUGGCAUCACAUGGUUUUGGAAAGUUUUUCGAUUGAGGAUGGAUUCGCGGCCUAUCAGCUUGUUGGUGAGGUAAUGGCUCACCAAGGCGACGACGGGUAGCCGGCCUGAGAGGGUGAACGGCCACACUGGGACUGAGACACGGCCCAGACUCCUACGGGAGGCAGCAGUGGGGAAUAUUGCGCAAUGGACGAAAGUCUGACGCAGCGACGCCUCGUGAGGGACGAAGGUCUUCGGAUUGUAAACCUCUUUCAGCAGGGACGAAGCGAAAGUGACGGUACCUGCAGAAGAAGCACCGGCUAACUAUGUGCCAGCAGCCGCGGUAAUACAUAGGGUGCAAGCGUUGUCCGGAUUUAUUGGGCGUAAAGAGUUCGUAGGCGGUUUUUCGCGUCGGAUGUGAAAACUCAGGGCUCAACCCUGAGCCUGCAUUCGAUACGGGAAGACUCGAGGACGGCACGGGAGACUGGAACUUCUGGUGUAGCGGUGGAAUGCGCAGAUAUCAGAAAGAACACCAAUGGCGAAGGCAGGUCUCUGGGCCGAUCCUGACGCUGAGGAACGAAAGCGUGGGGAGCAAACAGGAUUA
rnacentral:rRNA from 1 species